GUGUCAGCAGCCGCGGUAAUACAGAGGGUGCGAGCGUUGUUCGGAAUUACUGGGCGUAAAGCGCGCGCAGGCGGCUUCCUAAGUCUGUCGGUCAAACGCCGGGGCUCAACCCCGAGCUCGCCGGAGAUACUGGGAGGCUGGAGACAGGUAGAGGCAAGCGGAAUUCCGGGUGUAGCGGUGGAAUGCGUAGAGAUCCGGAAGAACACCGGAGGCGAAGGCGGCUUGCUGGACCUGGUCUGACGCUGAGGCGCGAAAGCGUGGGGAGCGAACAGGAUUAGAUACCCUGGUAGUCC
rnacentral:rRNA from 1 species